AUUCCAGCUCCAGUAGCGUAUAUUAAAGUUGUUGCAGUUAAAAAGCUCGUAGUUGGAUUUCUGGCAAGGCAGAGCUAACCUGGUACUAUGUAUCGUGUGUUGGACUCGGUCUGCCAUCCUUCCAGAAAAGCAUCAUACCCUUCAUUGGGCCGUGGUGAUAGAUCUGGAACUUUUACUUUGAAAAAAUUAGAGUGUUCAAAGCAGGCGUUACGCUAUGAAUACAUUAGCAUGGAAUAAUAAUUUAGGACUUCAGUUCUAUUUUGUUGGUUUCUAGGACCGAAGUAAUGAUUGAUAGGGAUAGUUGGGGGUGCUAGUAUACAGCGGCCAGAGGUGAAAUUCUUGGAUUUUGGAAAGAUGAACUACUGCGAAGGCAUUUACCAAGGAUGUUUUCAUUA
rnacentral:rRNA from 1 species